AAAACAUAGUAAACGAGUUAUUAACAGUUAUGACAUAACACUUUUCUAGUAAUUGUCAUUCGGUUUUGUCAUGACAAGUUGUGGUUAUUGUAAGGGUUAAGGUUGGGUUUCAUGCGUCAUGACUGUGUAAUCACAGUGUCAUGUGAGUGUCAUGUGUUCAUGACAGUGUCAUGCCACUCUUAUGUAGAAAACUUCAAGUAAAGUGUUACCAAGUUUUCAGAGGCACAGCCUCCAGUUCAAAAGUGUAGCCCCAUCAAAGGAACAGAUCUCAGUCUCAAACUGAUUGGCAUGUCUUUCAAUAGGCAGACUAACAGCAGACAAUGGCUAAAUGUAAGUAAAACUAUUUUUUGUAGAUCACUGAGUACAUCCACAGGCAUGUCGGGUAUGAUCGCAGGAGUCCAUAUCCAUGAUGUUCUCUACAUGGUAAAAUGAGACAUCUAGCUCUGUCCAAUCUGAGUUUUCUCUCAAGACUAAAGCAACUUUUAAUUGUACAGAUUACGGAGUUUAGCGGCUCCCAUGAUGAUUGUGAUUGGUUGCCCAUGCUGUGUGGAUUAUCCUGACCCUCCUCUGCAGCGCCGUGGAGGAUGGUCUGGCAAAGUGAGACUAAGAUUGGAGUAUCAAGGUUAUGUGUUUCCACCUGUGCAAACAUCAUAUUCUGUUUCCAGAAACCUGGAUAAAUUACAAUCUUCACUCAAAAGUGAUUAAAUUCUGACACCAGUAACAGAAGAUAACUUUUAUUGUCCCGUCUUCCAUUGAUGCUGAACAGCUGACAAAGCAAUCGUCCUCACUUCCGUCUGUACAGAACUGCAGUCGCGAGAACUCAAAGACACACCUGGAUCUACACAAUGUGCUGAAUAGUGUGGACACCAACAAAGCGGAGACAAAUUCCGGCCUUCAUUUGUACAGCAAGCAGAAAGAGAUUAAAAACACAGUGGAAACAAGUAGAGAAUAAUACAAACUCAAAAACCCGAUGGGCCCUCACUACUAGAAACCAAAAAGGAUCUUGCCAGAUUUGUGUCUACCUACAGACAAAGAACUCUGUUUCUCAUGUUAUGUGUGGCCAUCAUGUUCUACAUAUGUUCAAAACCAGUAUAAUUAUCAAAACUGGGAUAAUAAUGCACGUGUAAACAGUCACCACUCAUUCAUUACGUGACAAUGUAAUGUAAGUGAAGAUUUUUCACGUACAAAGCCAACAAAGCC